CCAAAGAUAGGCUCAUGAAGAUGUUCAUUUCCUCAUGAGGGAGUUCUCUGCCAGUACUGGAGCUAUUGGAAGAAACAAAUUAAAAAGUGUGGACUCCGGCAGAGAAAGAGAAGAAGAAGUAAAAGAGGAAGGAGAGUCCUGGAGUUGGUGGAUGGUCAGGAGAAACCUGCUGCCCAGAGACUUGAUUUACUUUGGCCUGAGGACUGAGGAAUCAGAUGAAAGGAACUUGGGGGAAGCUCAUCUUGGAGCAGGAACAAGGCAAGGUGGAAGCAGCUCCUGCCCUUAUUUCCCUGAGAGCUACAUUGAAGAUAGAGUGAUCUGCAGUAGAGAAUUUAUUAAAUGGAUACAAAUGAGAAACUGAGGCCCAGAGAGGGGAAGAAACUAACCAAAGCUUUCCAGAGGUGGUCACCAAAAUUCCUUCUUCCUCAUCUAAAAGAGCUGGUUCCCCAUAGAUGACUGGGCAAAUACCUGAUUAAACUCUAAAACUGUCAUUCUGCCUUCUACAUGGAGUCAUGUUUCCUAAAUUGUGUUCUGUGUGGUCCUUGAAAUUGAUGGCUAGCAUUGGAAUUAGAACCUGGGUCUUCUGAUUCUCUGGCCAGGGCUCAGAGCAAAAGAGAGUCACCACAUCAUUGGCUUGGGAGUCAAUUGCCAUGGCCUAUGUGGAAAAUCCCCGAUGGCUUGUUUAUGUUCAUAUUGGGCAGUCCUGGCCCUGGCCUGGUCCCAAUGUCCUGACGAAUCUCCCUCUGAUUUCCUGGGUUCAGGGAUGAGGGGGAGGGUGUUAGAGGUAGUUUUUCCACUCACUCCAUCACCCCAGAAAGGAGAACUCUUCUGUGCCACGUAAGCAAACUUUGAACCAUCACUAGUUUACUCUGGUUGAUAGGGAGUAUAUAUCAGAUGUGUGUGCAGCAGGGAACCAGGAAUGGGGGGCAAGGGAAGGAUGCAUGGAGAAAAGGAAUGGAAGUAGAGAUGGAGUAAAGGAGGCAAUCUAGGAAAAUGGGAGACUCAGAAGAGGAUCCAGUGGGUCAGAAGAACUGAGUACUGAAAGGGAGAACAUACAUUUAUUAAGCACCUACUAUGUGCCAGGCCCUGUGCUAAGCACUUUACAAUAUUAUCUCAUUUGAUUCUCAUCACCCUGCGAGAUAGGUGCUUAUUAUUAUUUCAUUUUACAGUUGAGGAAACUGAGGCAGACAAAAGUUGUCACUUGCCCAGGAUCACAUAGAUAAAAAGUGUCUAAGGCUGGAUUUAAACUCAGAUCUUCCUGAGUCCAGGCCCAGAAGUUCACGCACUCUACAUUAUGGCCAAACUCAACUAUUCUCUAUCCCUCUCUCUUAUUUUGCCCAUUUCCAUUUCUAUGACUUCGUGUACAACAUCCAUUAUGCCUGGAAUGGAUUUUUCCUGCCUCCCCCUACCAGUCUCCACCUUUCUUUUCCUUCAAGAUACAACUCAGAUGCCACCUCCUCUAUGAAGACUUUCCUGCCUUCCACCUCAUGUUAAAAUGAUCUCUCCCUACUCAUAUCUUUAAUAGCAUUUUGCCUGGAUUUCUCCUUUGCUCUGAUGUCAUUUUGCUUUUUAUCAUAACUAUAUGUGCCUCUAUUAGAUUGCAAGAUUCUUAAGCAUCAGGGCUUUGUUGCAUCUAUCUCUGUAUCCCCAAUGUCCAACAGGGUGUCUUUCACAUUGUAAGUACUGAAAAAUGCUUGAAUAGAAAUAAAUUGCUUCUUCCCACUUCUUCGCUUAUUCUA
rnacentral:lncRNA from 1 species